UACAGAGGUCUCAAGCGUUGUUCGGAUUCAUUGGGCGUAAAGGGUGCGUAGGUGGCGUGGAAAGUUGAGUGUGAAAUCCUAGGGCUUAACCUUAGAACUGCACUCAAUACUCCCAUGCUAGAGGAAUGUAGAGGAGAGUGGAAUUCACGGUGUAGCAGUGAAAUGCGUAGAUAUCGUGAGGAAGACCAGUUGCGAAGGCGACUCUCUGGGCAUUUCCUGACACUGAGGCACGAAGGCCAGGGGAGCAAACGGG
rnacentral:rRNA from 1 species